CGGCCCGGCCGGGGCCCAUCGCGAGCUGCCGGGUAGGUAAAAGUAAAAAAGUUGUUAAGAGGCGCGGUGUCGGCGUGCUUGUAUUUGCGGGAGAGAAUUAUCUGGAGGUGCUGGGUAGCCGGGAAGACUUGGACGGAUCUGGCCCGGGAAUGGGUCUGGGCCUGGAUUCUGGUGUGGUGUAGGGUAGGCGUAGAUAGAUGAGUGGUCUAGGGUAGAUACAGGGUAGCCAGACGUCUAGUAUAUAGUAUGGGGGUGUAGGGUAGGUCUGGACACCGUUUUCCACUUCGCCCUUCCCUUUAGUCGAGGGAGGACGAUCUUGGCUGGGACGGAGGUGUAGGGUAGGCUUAAUUAACGAUUACAUGAUCUGUGUCACUCUAGGGUAGGUGAAAAUCCCAUAUAUAUCUGAUCAGAUUUGGCGAAGAGGUGGUUUGGCUGGUGAGAUGGACAAAAGUGCAAUGUAGAAUUAUAUGUGAUUUUGCAAAAGUGGGUGUGAAAUUGGGAAAUCGGUUUUCCCGCACAGAUAAGAGCACGUUUGAGGUGCCAUGAGAUGCACCUCUCCGAGACGACCUCGACGGUACCACCGAUGUGUUGGUCAGGCUCCUGUGCGGCCGUCCAGGGCGGGAUAAGUAGAGAAUGAGGUGGUGUAGGGUAGGUGGCCAGGUCCAGGGUAGGUUCGCCAAAUCCGUCAAUCCGGCUUGAAUGGAAGGACAGGUCUAGGGUAGGCCAGAGUCGGGUCUAGGGUAGGCAACUCUCACCCUCGAAGUGGUCUACCCGGUAGCCAACUUCAAUCGCCUCUCACGGCCGCCACGGAUCUCGUAUGACGACGGGACUACCACCAUCGGAUUCGCCUUGGUCGAAAUAGCUGGUAUAUGCACUUUUGAAAAAAUGCGUGCAAAAUGGUUUUGUGGUUUGGUGGUCGUGAGUCGAUUUUUUUGUUUUCCCAUACAAAUGAAUUUUGCGGAAAAUAAAAAGUGGCCCACGAGGCAGUCCUGGCGUGCGGCCCACUAAAACGGUCUCGGAGGGUAUAUGAGAAGGGAGCAAAUCCGGCCGAGCCUGAAAGGGUGAGGACAAACCGGGCGAGCAACCUCUCAGUAUCAGAUCUUGCAGACUUCCACUGCGUGUCCCUCUGUACAGCUUUGCAGGCUCCGGCCUCGGCAGCGGGGGGUUCAUAGUGGUCGUCGACCUCCACGAAACUGCACGCUCCGGCGUGACAGCGUACUGGGGAUGCCUGUGUAGAUGCAGUCCGGGCUUGCCUGGACCGCUAGCAGAUGGGCUCUGUGGAUGACUGGCCGCUGGCUAGACCUGAAACCUGAGCAACGGGAGGUAACCUCUCGCCGCGGACACCGGAAUGGUAGAAGCGGCGUGCUGCGUCCUCCUCUUGGGGCCCCUAAGCCACACCUCCCAUAGCGGGUUCGGUGCGGCGGACGGACGCCCUGGGGAAUUUAGAGGGGGAAAGCGGAUUGCCCUAGCGGUGUUGUUGGCCCUGCCGACCUCACUGCGAAAGGCGCGACUUCACCGUCGCCACCCAGUAACUUGUC
rnacentral:misc_RNA from 1 species